UUUAACAAUACGGAGGAGGUUUUUUUGUGGUGGUUGUUUAUUACAGUAUGGGUCCAGAUUACAUUCUGCUAUCAAAUUUCAGAUGAAGUAGUAUUCUGCUUGCCCAUAGACCAUGUGAUAAAGGACAGAACAUUCAUCUGGCUAUCAGUUUCCUGAUGUCGAAAGCACUUCGGAAUCUACACCAACACAUCUACAGAGAGUCAAAGGCACAAAGAAGAGUUAGGCCUAGAGAUGGGAAACAAGCAACGGUAAGCCGCGUGGAUCAGAGAGCUUCGUUGAACGUUGAGGCUUUGAGGAUGCAAUCAUCGAGGUGUCUGGAGACCUAAGGACCGGAGCGUUGCCCUUGAGUCCUUCAUUGAGUGAAGCACGUUGUUCGUGGUGGAAGCAAAAAGUUUUUCACUGUCAAAGGGAAGAUCUUCAAUGGUA